rnacentral:snoRNA from 1 species
UUGCAAGCCUUCCAGCAGGUGUGAGUUUGCUGACUUGGUGUCUUCCAGCAGGUUUGCUAGAGUGUUUUGAGGUGGUUUGAGUCAUUGCUCUGUGCCCUCUUCAGUGCGUGGUUGUAGGUAUUUCACAGUC